GACGCGGUGGCCUAAUGGUUGGUGUGUUGGACUCCGGAUCAAGCGGUCCGGGUUCGAUAGCUGGCCGGCGUCA
rnacentral:tRNA from 1 species